rnacentral:lncRNA from 1 species
AGAUUUUAAGAUAAAGAAACUCCCACUUUUAAAGAAGUUCAUAGUUUAGCAGAGCAGACAGACACAAUUUAUAUACUGUGAUAAUGUGAUACAUACUAUUAUAGAAAUACAGUCUUUUUUUUUUUUUUUUGAGACGGAUCUUUAGUAGAGACGGGGUUUCACCAUAUUGGCCAGUCUGGUCUCGAACUCCUAACCUCCAGUGAUCCAUCUGCCUUGGCCUCUCAAAGUGCUGGGAUUACAGGUGUGCGCCACCACACCUGGCCAGAAAUACAGUCUUAAUACUGUGGGACCCUACAGGCAGACAAGUAGGGACAGGCAUUCCAAUCUUACCUAGGUCAAUAAUAGGGAGUUUGUACUACCAUACUGAUAAGAGGUAAGUAUGCUUUUUGCCUCUUGGAGAAAUAUAAGGGAAAGGGUGCGAGAUGUGGAAGGAAUCUCAUUUAAUCCAGUGACUCAUUGGGUAACACUGGAUCAACAAAAUGAAGAGCUGAGCCAAGUGGUAGAACUCUCAUUUCAAGAUUUUGGUGACUUGGGUUUAAACAGAGUUGGAGAGGGAGAUGAAGGUAUUUACUGGUUUCUGCUCUAUCUUCCCUACUUAGUAAAACUCUCUCAACUGUCCUGGCAGGGGUUGGUCAUAGACCUUCUAGAAAAGAGUAGUGAUGAAUUAAUUCUUCUGUCAGAAAGAUAUGGGACUGCAUCCCAGUUGCCAAGGAAGUUAUCUAUUUAUUUAUUUUUUGUGCAAAUGGUGGCCUUUAAUACCAAGAACUUGCCUUCUUUCACUUCCUCAAUUCAUUCCUCUCCCUUCUCCCUUCCUCUCUCUUCCUUCUUUUCCUUCCUGCUUUUCCCUUUUCUCCUUUUUCUCCUCAUUCUCUUUACCAUCUACCUAUGUGUCCCUCCAAGCCCCUCUGCUAUUUCUCCCCUGCUCACUCCCUCUGCUGUUGUCUCCCUCAGGUUCAGCUUCCGGGGUGGGGAGGCAAGAAAGGGUCCUCAGCUCAGGGAGCACUUGUUUGUGUUCUUUAUGUCACAAGUUUUCAGGUCAGUACUGGGAGGCUUGUUGCCGUUUCCUGAUCUCCGGCCUCCUGACUUGAGCAAGAUGUCCCGGGCCAGGGAACUAAAAGCCUCAUCCACAUUCAUACUGGAUUUAGCACUAGUUUCGAAAAAUCAGAUUCCAUGCUCUCGAGCCAACUUAUCAGCCUGCCCCUUCUGCACCUUCCUCUUGGCCUCCAUGUCACAUUUGUUCCCUAGCAAGAGGCGCUCCACCCCAGCUGAGGCAUUCUCCAUGAUGCUUUUCAUCCAGUUCUGAAUAUUCUCGAAAGAUUUCUCAUCCGUGAUGUCGUAUGCUAGGAUAAUGCCCAUGGCUCCACGGUAGUAGGCAGUAGUUAUUGUCUUGAACUGCUCUUGGCCAGCCGUGUCCCAGACUUGUAGUUUGAUCUUCUUCCCCUCUAUAUCCACAGUGCGGAUCUUGAAAUCAAUUCCGAUGGUGGAGAUGUAAGUGUUGUUGAAGUUGUCCUCUGCAAAGCGAAUGAUCAGACAAGUCUUGCCCACCCCCGAGUCCCCGAUCAGCAGCAACUUGAAGAGGUGGUCAUAGGCUUUGGCCAUGGCGGACACCGGG